GUAACGACCCAAAAUUUCUAAUUUGGAAGCUAAUUAUCAAGAUAGGCCCAAAUUAUUUUUCUUAGCCAAAUUCCAAGAAAAGAAUAAUUUCAGUUAUUUUAUUAUGGCUGCAUCUAACCUCGUUAGACUGUCUACGUACCCUACGAAGGGAUCAAGCCAUUCGUAGUUCACCAAUUCAAUUUUUAACUCAUUUCCGAAUAUAUAACAAUCAAGUGACUAACAAUCACUAACUAGGUUCAAACAAUUGAAUCAGGUGACCAUGGUUUAAGUAGUCUAUUGAGUAUCAUCAUCUCUGUUGUAUUCUUUUGGACUAAGAAUGUAAGCAUAAUUCUACAAUUAAUUAUUUAUCUAAACCAUUUUACAAUUUUCUAGCCACUCGUUAAUUCAUCCAAGCUUUCAACCUUGUGGUCAGAAUUCAAGCAUAUACACUUAUACAAUAGCUAGCUUACCUUAUAAAUCAUAUUAAUCUACGAGGAAGAUUGGCAUGCAUACCUCCAGGCUCUCUUAAAUUUAGAAUUACUUAAAUCGAUUGAAAAGCUAAUGGAUGGGGAGAAGGACAUGCACCUGUUCGAGCAUGCUUUCUUCCUUUCUGGCCUUGUCCACUGACAAAGUCAGACAUGACUUAAGACAGCAAGGGGUGUAUCUGAUGCGGCAUCAAAUCUUUCUAUUUUGGGGUCUUCCCAAGCAGAAGAAGAACCAGCUCGGGCUGCCAUGGAGGAACACUGAUAAGUCUCCCUGUAAACAAAGCUAUGAACUUCUGCCUUGUUUGGUGAUUUCUGGUAAAAUCAAGGUGACAAACGUGAUGGGCUCGACGAGGGCUUGAGUUAAGAUGUAAGAUUGGUCAAAAUCGAUGAUUAAAGGAAAGAGGUAUAAGAUUUGUGUUUAGGGGAGCCCAAAACAGAAACAAGAACAGCCCCUCUUCCUUUUUCCUUUUUUUUUUUUUUCCUUCCCCCCCGGGAAGAAGAAAAAGGUCUCCUCCCUUCUAGAAAAAUCUCCUUUUUCCCAAUUUACUAUAUUGCCCAUCAACAAAAAGAUUAAAAAUCCGCAACUUCUUCGCCGAAAUUCCGAUUAGCCCCCAAUUUGCACUCACACAUUCGUGGCGACGAACAUUAUUCAAAUAUACUAAUUAAUAUGUCAAACGUGUCACGACCACGAGGUAACAAAAGUCAACACAUUUUCAUCUUUUCACUUAUCAAUAAAUUUUACGAUGUAAAUUAUAAUAAUUUCUGAAACAAACUUUAAAAGUUCUUAAUUAAAUUUUUCAUAACCAUAAAUCAUUUAUUCUCGAUUUACUCCACAUAACCAUGUAUUUUAAAUUUUCAGGGUAUUACAUUCGACUCCCAUUAAAAUAAAUCUCGUCCUCGAGAUUUCUACCAUCGAGUAACUGAAAGGAAUUAACGCUAAUUCCACCAUUCCAUUUAUCGUGAAUAAAAUCAUAACCUCAGUCUACGAUUUUAUUUGAGUUCCAAAAAUACAUAAUUCAACGAAAUAAUCAUCUAUACUCAGAUUUCCUACCACCCUCAUUGGUAGAAUGAUAUCAUAAAUCCUAACCAUACACAUUGGCAAAAUAAAUAUUAAAACAUCAAGCCACAAUCCUCAUGGCCUAAAUAAAUACUAGAUUAUCAACCUCAUCUACUGUUGGUUAGGUAAAUACUAGCAUCAUAAUCACAAUCUUUGGUAAACUACUUACCAUCAUUGCCACAUUUACCAUUGGCAAAACAAUUAUCAUAAAUUUCCCAACCGUAACCAUCAUCGGCCAAAUAAAUAUCAAAAUUUCAAGCUAAACCAUUUAAAUUGGCAAUUCAGUUAUAAGAAAUUACAGCCAAAUCAUAGGAAUUUGAAAUCACAAUCACUGGUAAAAUCACAUACCAUUAUUGGUUAUACAUAGCCGUCACCACGAUUCACUCCCAGAACUCGGGUGCCAACAUAAUCCAAUCUGAUGACCGGUCCCGCGACCGAUUACCCUCACUUCACUCUGACCACAACAGCCCGAAGUAGGAUAACGAGAGUGUCCAUUUAAUCCUACACCCCAGAACCAAGUACCCUCCCCACGGGAUAUGGUACAUGUCCGGCCGUGUAGGCCCCCAGAGGUUUAGGGGAUCGAAACCCAAGGCAGCGCGCGGUGCCCCUCACUCCUGGUAACUCUCAAUCCAGGAGUGUCCAUUUCCAACGGCCAUACCACAUAGACUAUUCCGCAAGAGUAGCCCGACCGUAUAACACCCUCUGAAGGUUUAGGGGAUCGAAACCCAGGGAAACCACACAAUCCCUUUCACUCUCAGGUCUUCGAAAUAAUUCAUGUGAAUGUACCUUCAUUCAUAAUACUCAUGCAAUGGUUCAAUAUCACCGCAAGUCAUAUUUCACGCCAAUAAGAGUGGGGACAACGUAAGUAGUUUAGCUAAAGUGUAAAGACAGUAGAGACUAGAUUAACUCACAACACUAGCUACUCAUAUAUGCAAUUUCCCAAUUCACUUCACAGUUUGAUUUUUAACCCAUAGCUGUGAAUAUAUCAAUGAUCUUCCUUGUUAAACACAGUGCACCUGAUAUAUGUGAGUAGCCCCAUAUACAAUUCUUGUCAAACGCCAAUGUCAUAAAAGAGGAAAAAUGUCUCGGUAAGCCGAAAUUAUAGCACACAUCAUAACUAUAAAUAAAUCCUUGUAAUCAAACAUUCUGUUGAUGCACAAAACCGGAUGGUCUUGGAACAACGUAAAUCCGACUGUGAAUCUGCAAGUAAUGUAAAUGACACAAGAGUUAUCGUGGUUCACCCCAAGGUUUGGGCUACGUCCACACUGAUAGUUGAUUCUGUUUCUCUGUAAGUGUAUGGAUACAAGUGUUUGGGGGAAGUCCCCGGAGAAAGAAGAGAAGGGAGAGGAGAGCCUCGGUGGUGUGAGAUCUCUCCUGAAUGUAAUGAUAGCUUCUCUUAGCCUUCUUAGGCUUGGCUCUUUUGCCCCCCCCCCAGAAUGAGGGGAGGAGUCCCCUUUUAUAGAAUAAGGGGCUCCUCCUCUUUUACAAAGUAUGGGCUUUAGUGUGAGGCCCAAAUACAAGGCCCAAGGCCCAAAUAUACGAGGCCCAAUAUAUGGUACCAACAGGAGUCCCCCAAGUCUUCAGUCAAAGGAGUCUUUUGGCUGGAGACUUCAAAUCCAAUCCAUGUACGGGCCGAAGUGGCUAGAUGUCUUGAACCAGUAUCAACCCAAGGUAAUGCUCAACAUAAAGCAAUACUCGGCUAGAGGUAUCACACGUUACGAGACUGCUCGGCUGGAGGCGAUACUCGUUACGAGGCUGCUCGGCUAGAGGCUAUGCUCGCGGCGAGGCGGCUCGGCUCGUGGUAUUCCUCAUUGCAAGUAUCUACUUUAUGUCGACAUGCACUCAGUAUGAGUUGAUUCUCGACAUGACUCGGGUCUGCUUGUCGGGUUCGCAUAUUGGGUCUAUGUGUCGGAUCCGCGGAUCGGGUCCGCAAGUCGGGUCUUUGAAUUGGGGCCAUACGUAGGGGCAUCAAGUUGGGACUAUCUGUAGGGUCAUCGAGUUGGGUCCGAGCACAUAGGUGUCCCAAUAAGCGAAUGUCCGAGCAAGUGGGUGUCCGGUCAGACAAGAGAUCACCAUGAGCACGUGGCUCAUCAGUCUAUAAGUUGGUAGACUUCGUUAAUCAGCAACAACGUUAAUCAGUGGACCUAGUUGCUCAAUAAUUCCUGACAAUAAAUGACAGUAUAAGUACGACCGUAUAAUGAAUAAAUCAAAUUGACAAAGUUUGUCAAGGCAAAAUAUUGUACUAUGUUCUUCUAUAAAUAAAUAAUUUAUUCAGUCGUGUGGUAAAUGAUUUGUAUCAUAUAUCAACAAUAUAACAGGUAUUGCCUAAACGUGUGUGUAUAUAUAUAUAAUCAUGAAUAAAUGAUUUAUUUAGUUCUUUGAUAAAUCACAUGACAAUGAUAUUGAGAAAACAUAAUUAUAUUUCUUUCAUGGCCGACAAUAUCAAAGUGAAAAGUAGAGACUUCAUAAUAAAAGUGUUCUUAUCUUGAGUUUUACCGUGGCUUUUUUCUGUUAGACAGAUGGAUAAUGGGUAUAUAUUAUACCCUGUAAUAUUAAAUAAUAAUAUUUGUAAUAGCUUUUCAGAAAAUGGGAUGCAUGAUGAAAGUUUGGCCAUUGUGUAAUCAAAUGCUGAGAAAAAGUGGAUUUCGAAAGAUGUGUUGCUGAGUCACUACUAACUAAUGCUUUUGGUGCCAUAAUAUAUGGUUUGUUGCUUUCUCCAACAUAUAAUGUAACGUUCCCUUUGUUUUUUGUGUUAAAAUAAUAAAAUAAUUAUAAUAAAAUUUAUCUUUUUAGACGGAGCGGGCAGCACUUAUAGAACAAUUGAGGCAGACAAAACAAAGUAAAGCUGGCACCAUUUAUAGAAUAAUUAAGAAAUAACAUAAAGAAAUAUAAAGUUUCUGACAACCACUUAUCUUUUCGUGGGUGUGGUUUGUGGCAUGAAAUGCUCUUCCAUGAUGAUACAUCUCCUUCAAACCGAUAGUCCAGUGAUCCCAUUCUAUGCCACUCAGCUACUAGAAUUGCACUUUUAGCUGCAUGAAACAGGUUCCUUUCCAUUAAGAAAUCAGGCCGUCCAAGUAGGCUCUUCCAUGGCCUGAGCAAGAGAUGGCUGCCACCUGUUCAGCUUGUUUACUGUCGACGGGAACCGGCGGGUACAGCCUCAUGCUCUCGUACAGUGCCAUGUGGGUGUACACCAUCUCCUUCACCUCGUCGUGACCUCCCCCCGCCGCUAACUCAGACGACGAUGUGUCGUUGAUCUCCUUCAAGAUCUCUUGUUCUACAUGUGGGUUCUGCGAAAGCAGCCAGAAGAACCAGGUGAGAGCAGCCGAAGUGGUGUCCCGGCCCACGAGGGUAAAGCUGAUGAUGAUGUCGGUGACAAACUUUUUGUCGGAGUGAUGCACUGGAUAUAUGGUGAUGCCCCAAUCAUUCUUAGCAUGGUGGAGAUCGGUGUGGCAUAUCCCACAGUACAAGAUCUUUAUGGUCGCAUCGUUGAUCCCAUUUUCUCUUCGUUUGAAGACGAAAGGAGUGGGAUGGUAGAAGCAGUAGCUAGUCGAUUGGGUUUUGCAGAUUCACGGCGGGGGGUGAAAAAAAUGAAAGAGAACCGACACAACUUUUCGUAUCGUUUCCCACAGACGGCGCCAAAUGUUGAUGCACAAAAUCAGCGAAGACUUUGGUACAACAGAAAGUGUCAGGUUUUGUGACCUUCGCUUGGUUGCUUCGGUCACUAGUGAGGAUAAGUACGUAAAUGAAUAGAGACAGAGAAGCAAACACAGGAUGUACGUGGUUCACCCAGAUUGGCUACGUCCACGGAGUAGAGGAGUUCUUAUUAGUAGUGAAGGGCUUACACAAGUACAAAGGAUCAAGCUCUCAAUUUAGUGAGUUCUUGUGAAUGAUUUAACACAAAUGGCAUUAGGCAAUAUUGUGGGGGAAUGACCCCUAUUUAUAGAAAAACUUGUAGCUUUGUCACAUUGACAUGUGUCAUGUUAUGAUUGGUUCUUGAUGUUGACACGUGCUGCGCUCUGAUUGGCUUCUAAUCUUGACACGUGUCGAGUAGUGAUUGGCCUCCUGGUCGGAGGGGAACUCUUCUGGGUCCUUGACAGUAUAGCGUUGGCCGGUGCUCGGUAGUUUCGGGAUUGGUCAAGUAUGGUACAAACAGUGCUCCCCUAAGUUCCCGAGUGAGGGAAACUCCUCGGUUGGGGACUUGCAAGAUCCAAUCCCUUGAGUAAUCACGAAACUUCUAAGUACCGAAGUGUGGUCUGAUCUUCAUCUGCCCUUCUCUGGAAGUACCUUUCCUCCAUCCGGGAAUGGUGUAUUUAGCUGAUGUUGACGCACAAGGUAAUGUAUCAAAAGGAGGCGAAGCUUAGUUGUAGUUUCGGGCUUAGUCAAGUGUGAUACAAACCCUAUAGUAGGAGUCCCCCAAGUCGCCGAGCUAGGAGAUCUGCCGAAAGAGGUGACAGACAAGGUAAGCAGUCAAACUUCCAAGUAAGCAACCCAGGAUCAGAGGUUUGACUUCGGCUUCCGGUUGAUUGUUCUCAUUCUCCUUGUCUCUCAUUCAACUGCCAGGAUAAGGAGAAGCAAAUGGAUAAGAGAUGAUAUGAGAUACUUUUGCUUUUGAAGAAGUAACUUUCCACAGGCUUAUUCUUGAACUGUGCUGGAGGGUUUUCUGGUGCCCUUCAGAGUAUAAGGCCGACUCAAAAAUUUGAGGGUCAAAACAAGUCCAUCAAAUCUAGAGUACGUUCGACCUUGAUGAUAUGGGAUAUUUUUGCUGUUGACGGAAUAAUGAAUGUGGUAUGGAAAGGUGUCGUGCUGUAGUGAUCUGUUUCAACUCACCAUUGAACCUUCUGCUUCAAUCUUUUGCAUGGCAGAAGUGGUGUGCAACCUUUGCAUUUAAAUGGUCAUUCAGAACAUUCCUUCAUAGUGACUCAUCCACGCUUGGCAGCUUCAGUGUAAAGAGCCAAUAUCUGAUCAACUGUCAUGAGGUAUUUACCGGUGGAAUUCGUGACCUUGACAGCAGUUGAGGAUGAGUACUCGAGAGCAAUGCUAAGUAAGCAACCAGGCAAAGGCUCCAGGCAGUCAGUUCCAAAUUGGAGGUUUGAUUUCAGGUUCCGACUGACUGCUCUCUUUCUCCUUGUCCUGCAGGUGUGGACAAGGACAAAGACAAAGACAGGGAGAAAGCAUGAUAUGAGAUACUCUUGCUUUCGACCCUGAUGAUAUGAGAUACUCUUGUUCUUGGUGUGGCUUAUUUGCUGAGGUAUUAUCGGGGGGAAAUAAAGCUGAGUAUUUCGAGAGGUUAUGUUGAGGGUGCCUUUUCGAAUGCGAGAAAGGGUUGAGCAUUUUUGCAGGUUUGCCUGUCCGUUGAGGAGGGAGGUCAAUGUAUAUAGGGAUUUCCCAAUAACAAGUAGUAAUGCUAUUCCUUUACCCUUCUUGGUCACAGCAAUGUAGUGGGAGCUGCCAGCUUCACGUGUUUUAAUUUUGUCAGAGCACUUUGAAAAAGUGGUAUGUGGUAUCUGGAAGCUGAUAUUACGUGUGGAAGAUUACAGACAAGCUUUAUCUAAGGAAAUCUGGCUCUCGAAGUUCUGAGAGUUGUGCCUCUUCGGUUUUCGAACAAGCAAUCCCGUCGAGGAUCUGACUCUCGAGAUUCGGAAAGCGGUGCUACUCCGGUUUUUGAGAAAGUAAUUAUGUUGGGAGUCUUUUCUCGAAUGUGAGUAAAGGUUGGACGUUCUUGCCAACCUGUCUUGCCGCAAAACACGGAGGUCGACACACAUAGGGACUUUCCAGUUGUCAAGCAGUGGUGCUGUUCCUUUACCCUUAUGGGUAAUAGUAGGGUAGCUGGAACUUCGAAAUUCUCGUGCCUAAACUUUGUCAGAGAUCUUUGACAAAAUUAUAUGUGGUACCCGAUGAGUUGAUGGUGCAUAUGGAGAGCGGUGAUUGAACAGUAAGAUUCACGUGCUUUCUACUUCACCAGAAAUCUUCGACAGAUUGCCCGUAAUUUCCGCAAAGCUGAGUGUGCAUGUGACAGGUGCUGACGAGGCUGAAAAAGCAGGUGCUUCUUCGAUUUCUGAGAUCGGCCCUCGUGGUCUCUGAGCAGCCCAGCUUUUGAGAAAGCAAACGCCUCUUCGAUUUCUGAGAUCGGCCCUCGUGGUCUCUGAGCAGUCCAGCUUUUGAGAAAGCAAACGCCUCUUCGAUUUCUGGAGCUCCGUCGAGUGCAGAUUUUUAUAGAGGCUGGCAUUAAGUUCCACAGCACACUUGAAUCUCUACCAGUAGAAGCUCAUUUCUUGCACUUCUAAGAUCUUGAUUUGUCUGACCUCUUCCCUCUUCAACACAUUUGAAAAUGUCUGGACCCUCCGACCGUCGUUUUGACUUGAACCUUGGAGAAGAGACAGCCACGCCUUCUCCAGACAACAUAUGGCGCCCAUCCUUCAUAUCCCCUACUGGUCCUCUUACCGUUGGGGAUUCUGUGAUGAAGAAUGAUAUGACCGCUGCAGUGGUGGCCAGGAACCUUCUCACUCCCAAAGAUAACAGACUACUUUCCAAACGGUCUGAUGAGUUGGCUGUUAAGGACUCUUUGGCUCUUAGUGUUCAGUGUGCAGGUUCUGUGUCUAAUAUGGCCCAACGCCUAUUUGCUAGAACCCGCCAAGUUGAAUCAUUGGCUGCUGAAGUGAUGAGUCUCAAACAGGAGAUUAGAGGGCUCAAGCAUGAGAAUAAGCAGUUGCACCGGCUCGCCCAUGACUAUGCUAUAAAUGUUGAUGCACAAAACCGGAUGGUCUUGGAACAACGUAAAUCCGACUGUGAAUCUGCAAGUAAUGUAAAUGACACAAGAGUUAUCGUGGUUCACCCCAAGGUUUGGGUUACGUCCACACUGAUAGUUGAUUCUGUUUCUCUGUAAGUGUAUGGAUACAAGUGUUUGGGGGAAGUCCCCGGAGAAAGAAGAGAAGGGAGAGGAGAGCCUCGGUGGUGUGAGGUCUCUCCUGAAUGUAAUGAUAGCUUCUCUUAGCCUUCUUAGGCUUGGCUCUUUUGCCCCCCCCCAGAAUGAGGGGAGGAGUCCCCUUUUAUAGAAUAAGGGGCUCCUCCUCUUUUACAAAGUAUGGGCUUUAGUGUGAGGCCCAAAUACAAGGCCCAAGGCCCAAAUAUACGAGGCCCAAUAUAUGGUACCAACACAUUCUAACUAGAGUUCCAGUAGCUUGGAUCCACCCAUAAUAACCAACGACUUAACCAAUGUAGCAAUUCAUUUUAAAAUAGAUAAAUUCUUCAAAUACAAAAGUAACAAAUAAAUCUCACAAUCUUUAAAAAUAGCUUUUAAAAAUUUACCUAGAAUUGUAAAGCUCAGCUCCAUAACAUUGUAGCUGAAAACGAUUGCCUAAACUUUGUAGCUCAAAAUGAUUCAUGAAUAAAAAUUGACACCAAAACUUAUGAUUUUUGGGAAAGGUUUUUAAGUGGAACAACUAGUUUCUGCUUUCUGAGCAGCAAACCAACGAAGAACUCAAGCAUAACGCAUAUUGUAGAGUAGAAUCGUUCACUCUGAUACCAAUUUUUGUAACGACCCAAAAUUUCUAAUUUGGAAGCUAAUUAUCAAGAUAGGCCCAAAUUAUUUUUCUUAGCCAAAUUCCAAGAAAAGAAUAAUUUCAGUUAUUUUAUUAUGGCUGCAUCUAACCUCGUUAGACUGUCUACGCACCCUACGAAGGGAUCAAGCCAUUCGUAGUUCACCAAUUCAAUUUUUAACUCAUUUCCGAAUAUAUAACAAUCAAGUGACUAACAAUCACUAACUAGGUUCAAACAAGUGAAUCAGGU
rnacentral:lncRNA from 1 species